rnacentral:rRNA from 1 species
AGCAGCCGCGGUAAUUCCAGCUCCAAUAGCGUAUAUUAAAGUUGUUGCAGUUAAAAAGCUCGUAGUUGAAUUUCGGGAUCGACGGGUCGGUCGCGCCUCUGGUGUGUACUGGCCCUGUCGGUUUCUCCCUUCUGACGAACCACGAUGUCAUUAAUUUGGUGUCGUGGGAAAUCAGGACUGUUACUUUGAAAAAAUUAGAGUGUUUAAAGCAGGCAUUCGCUUGAAUACAUUAGCAUGGAAUAAUGAAAUAGGACGUUUGAUCUUAUUUUGUUGGUUUCUAAGAUCGACGUAAUGAUUAAUAGGGAUAGUUGGGGGUCAUUAGUAUUCAAUUGUCAGAGGUGAAAUUCUUGGAUUUAUUGAAGACUAACUACUGCGAAAGCAUUUGCCAAGGAUGUUUUCAUUAAUCAAGAACGAAAGUUAGGGGAUCGAAGACGAUCAGAUACCGUCGUAGUCUUAACCAUAAACUAUGCCGACUAGGGAUCGGAUGAUGUUAAUUUUUAAUGACUCAUUCGGCGCCUUA